CGGCGGGGACGGCCCCACCAUCACGGUCAAGCGCGCGGGACGGCCCGG
rnacentral:ncRNA from 1 species